rnacentral:rRNA from 1 species
AUUGAACGCUGGCGGCAGGCCUAACACAUGCAAGUCGAGCGGAGCGGCGGACGGGUGAGUAAUGCCUAGUAAUCUGCCUGGUUGUGGGGGAUAACGUCCGGAAACGGGCGCUAAUACCGCAUACUCUCAGAUGAGCCUAGGUCGGCUUAGCUUGUUGGCGGGGUAAAGGCUUACCAAGGCGAUGAUCCGUAACUUGUCGGAGAGGAUGAUCAGUCACACUGGAAAUGAGACACGGUGCAGACUCCUACGGGAGGCAGCAGUGGGGAAUAUUGGACAAUGGGCGAAAGCCUGAGCCAGCCAUGCCGCGUGUGUGAAGAAGGUCUUCGGAUUGUAAAGCACUUUAAGUUGGGAGGCGUUACCAACAGAAUAAGCACCGGCUAACUUCGUGCCAGCAGCCGCGGUAAUUC